GAGUCCUUAACUGACGCUAAAGCUCGAAAGUGCGGGUAUCGAACAGGAUUAGAUACCCUGGUAGUCCGCACGGUAAACGAUGGAUGCCCGCUGUCUGCGAUACACUGUAGGCGGCCAAGAGAAAUCGUUAAGCAUCCCACCUGGGGAGUACGCCGGCAACGGUGAAACUCAAAGGAAUUGACGGGGGCCCGCACAAGCGGAGGAACAUGUGGUUUAAUUCGAUGAUACGCGAGGAACCUUACCCGGGCUUGAACUGCAGGCGUACGAUACAGAGAUGUUGAGGCCCUUCGGGGCGCCUGUGGAGGUGCUGCAUGGUUGUCGUCAGCUCGUGCCGUGAGGUGUCGGCUUAAGUGCCAUAACGAGCGCAACCCCUUUCUCCAGUUGCCAUCAGGUGAUGCUGGGCACUCUGGAGACACUGCCACCGUAAGGUGUGAGGAAGGUGGGGAUGACGUCAAAUCAGCACGGCCCCUACGUCCGGGGCUACACACGUGUUACAAUGGGUGGUACAGAGAGUCGGUGCAUCGCAAGUUGCAUCUAAUCAUGAAAGCCAUCCUCAGUUCGGAUUGGGGUCUGCAACCCGACCCCAUGAAGCUGGAUUCGC
rnacentral:rRNA from 1 species